rnacentral:rRNA from 1 species
GACGAACGCUGGCGGCGUGCUUAACACAUGCAAGUCGAACGGAAAGGCCCUGCUUUUGUGGGGUGCUCGAGUGGCGAACGGGUGAGUAACACGUGAGUAACCUGCCCUUGACUGUGGGAUAACUUCAGGAAACUGGGGCUAAUACCGGAUAGGAGCUCCUGCUGCAUGGUGGGGGUUGGAAAGUUUCGGCGGUUGGGGAUGGACUCGCGGCUUAUCAGCUUGUUGGUGGGGUAGUGGCUUACCAAGGCUUUGACGGGUAGCCGGCCUGAGAGGGUGGCCGGCCACAUUGGGCCUGAGAUACGGCCCAGACUCCUACGGGAGGCAGCAGUGGGGAAUAUUGCACAAUGGGCGGAAGCCUGAUGCAGCACCGCCGCGUGCGGGAUGACGGCCUUCGGGUUGUAAACCGCUUUCGCCUGUGACGAAGCGUGAGUGACGGUAAUGGGUAAAGAAGCACCGGCUAACUACGUG